UACGAAGGGGGCUAGCGUUGUUCGGAAUUACUGGGCGUAAAGCGCACGUAGGCGGGUUUGUAAGUAGAGGGUGAAAUCCCAGAGCUCAACUCUGGAACUGCCUUCUAGACUGCAAGCCUGGAGGUCAGGAGAGGCGAGUGGAAUACCGAGUGUAGAGGUGAAAUUCGUAGAUAUUCGGUGGAACACCAGUGGCGAAGGCGACUCGCUGGACCGGCAUUGACGCUGAGGUGCGAAAGCGUGGGGAGCAAAC
rnacentral:rRNA from 1 species